UACAUCAGACCAGACCAGACCAAACCACAGUGAGGACAACAUAGAAUUUUCUCCAGUGCCAGCCAUGACUUUCACCUACAGCCAGAUGCAAAACUCCUGAGUAUUACGUCUUUCAGAGAUGGCCUAAGAUUUCCAACAUAGCUGAACAACUACAAGGAUUUGUUCCGUACCAUGUGAAACUUCUCUUUUUUGACUGUGUGCCCUGCAUGCCUGCUUGAUAUCCAGAGUAAGAAGCCUCAGGAUACAUAACAAGUUUCUUGGCUCUGUAGCUACUCACUACAAAGAAAGCAAAACAAAAAAAGAAAACACUGUAUUAUCUUGUCCUACAUGACUUCCUAACCAUACGUAAAGAAUAAUUAAAUAACAAUUGUG
rnacentral:lncRNA from 1 species